GUAAAGAUCAGCACAAUAUUAGAACUUUUGUUUCUUUAUUCAAACAGCUGAAUCUUUUCCAGCUGGCCCAUAGCAGCUCAAUAAUCAUAUGGAGUUAUAUCAGUGGCACUCAUUCAUUUUUCACAGGCUAUAAUAAACACAGCAAAAAUUAGAUGAGGUUCCAUUUGAGGUUAAAUGUUUCCAUGAGAUAAUAACUUGUGUUUACAACAAGGAAAAAAACGUGGUCUAUUUUUAAACCUAAUUUAGAUGCUGCAUCCAUAUUGUACAACAGACUACGAGUGGAUACAGAAUCUUGCUCUCUCCUUCAUAGUUCUGCGAAGGAGGGUGCUGGGAAUCCUGCUGGGCAGAGGAUGGAGGAGGGAAAUGCCAGGCUUUACGCUGCCCAGUGACUCUCAAGGAGCGAAUGUCCAGCCCAGGUGUUAACAAGAGGGGAAGGCCAAGGCAGUGGAAGACCAUGAGGCCGAGAGAACUGGAGGCCAGAAGAACUGAUAGCAUUUAUGGGCCACUCAGCAUCGCUCUCCUUGAGCAGGAGGAGCAAUGUCCUGACUAUCAAAAUGGAGGCACAAAAAUAGAAUCACAGUUCCAAUGAUAGACUGGAUUCUUAUUCUUCUGAGACAUUUCCAUAGAGGAAUUCUACAAAGUCUAUAGUACAGCUCAGCUAAAUUCUACACAAGUGUAACAUGAACUCCCUGGUUAAUGCACGUGUCACUGCUCAGCACUUCUCUGCCUGCCACCCUCUCACCAUCAUUGUAAGAUUUGUGCCUGCUAAGAUUCAGAGUGCGGAGAGCUACGAUCGUUCCCCAUAACACAGAUCUGACACUCAUCUUGCUUAUUUUCUGCACUGAAGUAUUGCACUACAUUUUUAGAGUACCUGUUAUGUCCUGAAAAGGGCCUGGGACACGAACAGUCUGUUAGUAUCAUUUGAUCUGCCUCAUAAGAAAGUUCUAGGUCUUAAUUAGUUCAUUAAUAGCUAGAGAGUUCUUUAGGUUUUUGGGCAGCAUGCCCCAUGGAAAUCAUCCUACAGCAAUGGGAAAUCCUCUGUCCACACAGCUUGCAGCUCCCAGUCAGCUUCUGAAGUUUGAGGAACGUUACACACUUGCUAAAAUUUGUGUUUUUACUCCAAAGCUUCAUAGCUCCACUCCACCCUAUGCUGUCCACAGAGAAGUAUAAAUACAGUGGACACAGUUACUGCAACAGCUUCAGCUCUGUGAUAUUAACAGCUUAAACAACUUCCCUCUCUCCUUGCAUUCAAGUACAAAAGCAGAGACAUUGUAUUAGAGAAAAAAAAAAGAUUCUGUUUUAAGUUAGCAUAGGAAUGAAAACAGAAGAUUUGUAAUGUUUAUCCAUUACCAAGUCGAUACCUCAUAUGUCCAGCCAUAUGCCAUGUAACAAGCUUUUUUUCUGAAGCAUCUAAGCACUACAUUUUUAUCAUUUUUGCAUUACACUGCAGCCAGAUCCUCGAGAUAAGGAAACAAGGAAAUACUGAAGUGUGUUUUGUUUGGUUGGAGAGUGCAACCUGUCUGACGAGUGAGCAAAAGUUACAUAAGGGCCCAGGAGUCAAGUUCUUCUGAGUAAAACGCACCAUCUAGAGGUGAACACCACUUCUGCAAGGAGUGCUCGGAGAACUGCACUGACUGCAGCAAUUGAGCUGCUCGCAGGAAAAGAAGAAAACUCAAUUCUGUGGAGGCAACAAAAUCAGAACUUUGUGCUUUUGGUCCAUGAAAUAAAUAUUUGAGGCUUUUUCUAAAAAACGUACUUGUGUAUCAGGUCAAAUAAGGCUCCUGUCUCACAGACCUUUUGAAAAUAAAACCAGGUUACUGCACAUGCUUGCUCCAGAGGUCACAAAAGGAAGGUGCUUGCUUUCAGGGGCUGCGGCAUGUUUGAACAGCAAAAAUGGCUCUGCAGAUAAGCUCCUGCUUUCAGCUUAUGGAAGAAAUCCAUGCACUGUGAAACUCCUGUUGAAGACAGUGGAGGACACUGGUGAUGCUGCAAUGGAGUGCCAAAAAACGUUCCUAGUCUGGAAGAAGAGAGAGGAUUCUCAAGCCCAUGGAGAAACAUCACCUCCCAUGGUGACAUUGUAGCCAGUUUUUCAGGGUUUCCAAGCUUGGUGGGGCCCAGUAAAAGUGAUGCAGAGAACCCAAGUGUUUCUCUAGUAGUGUGGAAUUACCUGAUAUUCAUCAAAUUGUCAGUGGUUUCUUUAUUAUCACUACCAUAAAAGCAAGGUAGCCAGGAAAGCCAGAAGGUGAAGAUGGGAAACACUGUACUUCACAUUCUUUCCCCACCUGGUUCAGAGGAAUAUUCCUCCAUUGAUCUACUUGCAGGAAUCAUCUGUAAACAAACGUGUUUUGAAGGAAUCACAACAUCUUGUGCACCUUUUUAAUUAACCAUAUGUUUUCUUUGUGUCUGUCUCAAGAAUGUCAAAACCAGAACAUUUCCCCAGUGACAGCUUCAUCCUUUAAACUUCACAGAUGAGAAAGAAAGCAUAACAAUUGGUGCUAAAACAGGAGUAAGAGUUACUAGGGUGACACUUUGUAAUUUGUAGGAUGCUGAUAAUGAACCUUUGAAAAGUACAAGAGCUUCUCUAAAGCUCAAGAGACCACAGAGACCCAGUUUGCCUCUGCUAUCAUCAAAAUAGCAGUGAAGAUGGUGAAUUCCUUCCGCCCUUUCGCUCCUCAGAUCUUUGCUACUAUUAACUGCUCUACUUCCUAGAGGCAGGGUGUUGCCCACAGCACCAGGGAUUUAUCUGGGGAGGAGGGAGGCUCUGGUCCAUAGCUUGCCUCAGAUGUGUCCAUGAUCUGCUGCUGAAAAAGUGAUCUCUUUUGUCAGGCUCUUCUGCAGCCAUCUUCAGCCACUGCAAAGUUGUGGUACCACCUCACCUCUUCCUACAAGGGCAGAUAAACUAUUGUGGCAGCAGAAGCCUCAGGGUUUUAUUCAUUUGACACUGGUAGAGGACAUCAGGUUUCUUUCCCUUUCCCUUCUCCUGCAAAUGCGAAUGUUCAUUAAAGUCUUCAGGGAGAACGAUGCCAAGGAUGGGUUUGCAUUUUAGGUGUCUGCAUACCUGGAGAUAUCAGGAAGUUCUCAAGGAGCUUCAGAGUGUUUGAAUCCACCUCAGAAAACUUUGAGUUCUGCUUUAGAAAGAGCCUAAACUUUGCCCAUGUCAGUCAUUCCCCUGCCAAACUGCCCAUUUGCUAACAGCCUUGUAGUCUGGGCCCAGGAACAAGCUACAGACAGCAUCAACAGCAGACAUCAACAUACACAACAAGGAGAAGUUGAUUCCCUAGCACAGAAAGCUAUUUAGCAUCUAGAAAGAGAUUAUGGUGAGUUUUUGGGUUUUUUUAAGACAGAUAAAAGUAGAGGUGCAGCAAGCUGGAUUUUCUACAAUGCCAUCAAAAAAUUUAUGUAUACAGUUGAAGCAAAAAGAAAACAGCCAACCAACCAAACCAAACAAGCCAACCAACCAACAACCAGACGGACUGUUAGCAAGGAAGAACAAUAAACUGCCGGUAAGUUAUUUGGCAGGACAUCUACAGUAAGCUUCAGAAAGCUCGCUUAAACCAGCUGCCCUGCUCCUCUCAGAGCAGCACAUUGCUGUGGGCAGAGCACUGGUUGCCAGUGUUCUUUAUUCAGGGGUUUUAGGAUAACAGUGACAUCAGAGGUAGAAACAGCCUGUAAACCACAGGAACUUACCUCCUCUCGGAAGCAUAGUGGUUUGCCUCAUAAAAGAACAGCAAGUGUUAAAAUGUCACUGAGGGACUUGAU